rnacentral:lncRNA from 1 species
UUUAGUGAGAAAAAAUUCACUUGAAGGGACAAACACACAUAGUCCAGUCAUCAAUAUUUUACUUAAAAUAUUGCUCAGCCCUGCAAAAUGAGUAUAACCAGGCCUCUGAUUAUCUAGGUUGGCUAAGCAGUCAGACAAGCACUGAACUGUGCAUAAAAAAGGUGACCUUGGAUUUCAGACCACCUCUGUUCUCCAAGCAACAUCACUUUGUCCUUGCUUGGGUUGUAUUUCAGCAUCGCAGUACAGGAGGCAUGAGUGGAUUUGCAGUGGCUGCUCUGCCAGAGCUCUACAGGAACACAGGCAUAUAUCUCCAAGUUAUUAUGCUUUUCUAAACUUUGGAAGCAUCUGCAGCUGCACACAGUAAAACCAAAACCAGCUGGACUCUCUUAUCCAGCACAAGGACAAAUUUAAAGAAGUUUCACAUUUAUGACUUUCAUGAAAAAUCCUCCAGUCAAAUCCAAAAGAAACACGAACAUUUACCCUGCUAAAAAAGGUUUAACGCUUUCAUUCUGGCUUUGUGAGAUGAUGGCACAGGAGAGGCUGUGAUAAGGUGGUGGGCCUGGUUAAAACCCACCAAAUUUCUGCGGCUGCCCAUAACGACAAA